CAACCAGGUCGGACAGCCGCGGGGGGAGGCCGAAAGGCCCCCCGUGAGGAAAGUCCGGGCUCCGCAGGGCAAGGAUAACGGGUAACGCCCGCCGGGGGUGACCCUAGGACAAGUGCAACAGAAAGAUACCGCCUCGUUUGGAGUAUGAGCCCCUUGGCUUGUGCCAGCGAGGUAAGGGUGAAAAGGUGUGGUAAGAGCGCACCCGCCCCAUGGGAACAUCGGGGUGCUGUAAACUCUAUCCGGAGCAACACCGUGUGUGGGACUACAGGCUGGCCCGGCCGUCCCCAAGAGGUGGCUGGAACCCAGGAGCAAUCCUGGGUCUAGAUAGAUGGCUGUCGAUGACAGAACCCGGCUUAUAGACCUGAUUGCAUG
rfam:Firmicutes bacterium CAG:137 genomic scaffold, scf271